GCCCCGGCGCCGGAAGCGCGACAGACGUCAUCACCCGCCGCGGCGGCGCCGUGCUGCCGCUUCCCACCGCUCUCCUCUCGCCGCGCCGCCGCCUUCGCCCCGCCCCCGCUCGGUGAGGCGGCCUCGGCGGGAUGGCGGCCCUGUCCCCGCCGGCUGCUGCCGUGGCGGGGGGGGGGGGGGGGGAAGCGCUCCCCUGCGGGGCAGCGUCAGUCGGAGGCAGGCGGCGGCCGGGCCGCUCCUGUGACUGCGGCCUGACGGCCUGAUGGAAACCAAGGAGAGAAGUGUUUUUAGCCCCAGAAGCACACGAUUGAAAAGACGGCAGUGGCUCAAAUGCGCAGUGAUGUUGGACAACACCAGGCGUGCGGGCAGCACCUCUGAAAUGAAACACUGAUGUUAAAGAAAAUUUUCAAAGACCUAACGCUCAUCAUAAAAGCAAUACAGCACGGUUUCCUCUCCCGACUCUUCACGUUCCUUACGUCCCACCAAAACCCGCCUCUAUGUGUUCUUAAUAAACGGACUGCAUUAGGGGUAGCAGCACCGCUGUUAAGUUGCAACAUUAAUUCCAAGUCACGGGGCUCUAACCGCAGUUCUUAACCUCUAAUCUUCAGGUACGAGGUCUAAACCGAACAAUACAUUGACACGUACCUCUGCAGGUGACAGUUUGAUGUGACCCAGGAGGAAUAACCUGAAUGUUCCAGCCACCUACUUGCUACUUCCUGCAAGCUUCCUGUGAGCAUCUCAGCUGGUGUGGCCUCGGGAGCAAAAAAAGUAAAGAAAAUCCAGCCAGAUUCAGAAUUUGACAAGAGCGGUGCUAAGGCUGGGAGAACUGCUGAGAGUUACAGCAGCCCCGUUCAUCGCGGGACAGCACCUCCGUACGUGCAGAAGGUACUGCUAUUACACAUUCUGCCCUUAAACCUCAAUACAACAUCCUGCCAGCCGUGACCGCUUCCCCAGGGGGAGGACUGAGAAAGUAAAAACCAGUGCAGAGAGCAAAGCCUGUUAAAGAAGGAUUUGCUGAAGAAAUACGCAAGCGCUCUGUUAGAAAAGAAAAAGCGCAGUUGUUCUACAGGAAAUUACGGCAUUCCAUCCAGUUAAGCCUUAGCUAACAAAGACUAACCUUCUCCUUGUUCCUUCACCAUGUCCUCACUAGAAGCCAUCAGCUAGAUCUCGAGGAGCGUUGGCGGUCGCGUUCAUCCACCCGGCAGACAUCAAAGUCCGGAGCGGGGUUCGACACCGGGGCGCUGGCUGGGCGGUCAGUAGGAGUGCUGGAGGCUUCCAGUGGGACGGAGUAGUUCUGCUUCGGGUCUGAGCGCGACGGCGUCCACCACUACGCCUGGGGUUGGGUCAGACGGUUUCGUGGGACUCACUGCUGCUUCUGGUGUGUUUCUGAGGGAAAGCACUCCCAAGGUUGGGGGGCACUUUUUCACCCUGCUGUUCUAGCCCGAGUGUUUGGGCAGAGGCACGCAUGUUCACGUAACGGCGAGCUAGCUAGUUGUGGCUAGUUUUUUCAAAGAGUCUGGCAAGCGUUAAAACAUACAAUAAUGGCACAAGAGAAAAUAGCGAGAUAUGAUACACCGCUACUAUUCUGGGGCUGGAAAUUCAGAGUUCUACUUACAGAUACGAGACUUGGAAACGGUCUUCCUGUGAGAGUACUGCGAGCAGAAGACGGGAGCUUAAGGUAGCGCCUGAGAAGUCUGCGUACAGGUGAUGCGAGCUGAUCGACUCUGACUAAGACUGGGCUGAAACACUGGUGGCCCCGGACAGGCGUUGCCUGAUGAGGCAAAGGGAGGCAAUACCUUGGGUGUUAAGAUUAAGGUUUUGAUGUAAUUUCUGUACUUGGUAUUUUUUAUGAUGAGCUUUACAAACUAGUCGCUGUUUGAUACCCUUCUCUGUAGUCCCUGUACUACCCAGCAGACAACAGUAUUUUGAACGUGAAAUUCCGAAGGGACGAUUAGCUAACAACCGACCUCAAGUGUUAAGCUAGAAAGAUGUUUACUCUGUAAUAUAUUCAGUACUUGGGGAGUCCGCAUCUUAUUUAAGAAAUGGCUUAAGCACUUGGAAUCCUAAAACUUCGUAGUCCUCUGAGAGACUUACAUUUUUACAUGCAUAAAUUAUUUUUCAGUUUGCUUCACACGUUCUCAAAAUGUUUACCCUUUGUGAGUAUAAAAUUGAAAAAUACCGUGGCAAAUUGAGGUAAAUAGCAUCUGGAUGAGAUUCUGGAUUUCUUUCUGAUUCUCUUCAAGUGCUGUAGAUAAUAAAAAUAAAAUUUUAAAAAAAAAAGAGAAAUCAUAAGACAAA